CCCCGGCAUGCACGGAACGUCCGCCGCCCGCUGCGUCACCGGCUGCGCUGCGUCCUGCACUCUGCUCCACCGUGGGCUCCUGCCCACCGCAGCAGCAAAGGAAGCCUUUGGGGUGAGGCGGCCGCCGUGCCUUUCGCGUUGCUCGUCGCGGGAACCCGACGCAGCCCUCGCUGAAGAAAAGCUUUUGUCAAUUUGUGUGACGCUG
rnacentral:lncRNA from 1 species